GAUGAACGUUGGCGGCGUGCCUAAUACAUGCAAGUCGAGCGAACAGAUGAGGAGCUUGCUCCUCUGACGUUAGCGGCGGACGGGUGAGUAACACGUGGAUAACCUACCUAUAAGACUGGGAUAACUUCGGGAAACCGGAGCUAAUACCGGAUAAUAUAUUGAACCGCAUGGUUCAAUGGUGAAAGACGGUUUUGCUGUCACUUAUAGAUGGAUCCGCGCCGCAUUAGCUAGUUGGUAAGGUAACGGCUUACCAAGGCGACGAUGCGUAGCCGACCUGAGAGGGUGAUCGGCCACACUGGAACUGAGACACGGUCCAGACUCCUACGGGAGGCAGCAGUAGGGAAUCUUCCGCAAUGGGCGAAAGCUUGACGGAGCAACGCCGCGUGAGUGAUGAAGGUCUUCGGAUCGUAAAACUCUGUUAUUAGGGAAGAACAAAUGUGUAAGUAACUAUGCACGUCUUGACGGUACCUAAUCAGAAAGCCACGGCUAACUACGUG
rnacentral:rRNA from 1 species